CUACGGGUUGCUGCAGUGAGGAAUAUUGCACAAUGGGGGGAACCCUGAUGCAGCAACGCCGCGUGGAGGAUGACGCAUUUCGGUGUGUAAACUCCUUUUAUAUGUCAAGAAAAUGACGGUAGCAUAUGAAUAAGCACCGGCUAACUCCGUGCCAGCAGCCGCGGUAAUAGGGAGGGUGCAAGCGUUACUCGGAAUCACUGGGCGUAAAGGACGCGUAGGCGGGUUGGAAAGUCAGGUGUGAAAUACUACAGCUUAACUGUAGAACUGCACUUGAAACUUCUAAUCUAGAGUAUGGGAGGGGGAGAUGGAAUUAGUGGUGUAGGGGUAAAAUCCGUAGAUAUCACUAGGAAUACCUAAAGCGAAGGCGAUCUCCUGGAACAUUACUGACGCUAAGGCGUGAAAGCGUGGGGAGCAAACAGGAUUAGAUACCCUUGUAGUC
rnacentral:rRNA from 1 species